rnacentral:rRNA from 1 species
AUUGAACGCUGGCGGCAUGCCUUACACAUGCAAGUCGAACGGUAGAGGGGCAACCCUUGAGAGUGGCGAACGGGUGAGUAGCGUAUCGGAACGUGCCCGAUCGUGGGGGAUAACGUAGCGAAAGUUACGCUAAUACCGCAUACGAUCUGAGGAUGAAAGCGGGGGACCGAAGGGCCUCGCGCGAUCGGAGUGGCCGAUAUCAGAUUAGGUAGUUGGUGGGGUAAAGGCCUACCAAGCCGACGAUCUGUAGCUGGUCUGAGAGGACGACCAGCCACGCUGGGACAUAUACACGGCACAGACUCCGACGGGAGGCAGCAGUUGGGAAUUUUGGACAAUGGGCGCAAGCCUUAUCCAGCAAUGCCGCGUGCAGGACGAAGACCUUCGGGUUGUAAACUGCUUUUGUACGGAGCGAAAAGGUCUUCUCUAAUACAGGGGGCUGAUGACGGUACCGUAAGAAUAAGCACCGGCUAACUACGUGCCAGCCGCCGCUGUAA